rnacentral:rRNA from 1 species
UACGUAGGGUGCGAGCGUUGUCCGGAAUUACUGGGCGUAAAGAGCUCGUAGGUGGUUUGUCACGUCGUCUGUGAAAUUCCGGGGCUUAACCUCGGGCGUGCAGGCGAUACGGGCAAUACUUGAGUGCUGUAGGGGAGACUGGAAUUCCUGGUGUAGCGGUGAAAUGCGCAGAUAUCAGGAGGAACACCAAUGGCGAAGGCAGGUCUCUGGGCAGUUACUGACGCUGAGGAUCGAAAGCAUGGGUAGCGAACAGGAUUAGA